rnacentral:tRNA from 1 species
GAGCCUGUAGCUCAGUCGGUAGAGCAACGGACUUUUAAUCCGUUGGUCGUGGGUUCGAGUCCCACCGGGCUCA